CAGCAAUACCAGAGACAUCUUUAAUUCAACAGGUCAAUUUCAUUGGGAAGCCAGUGUGUGAGUUAGCAUCCCUUAACCAUUUCACUACCAUCUCCAGCUGAGACAGUGGAAACCAAUAGGUUAAAGAGUCCAUAAAACAUCAUCUAAUUGGAUCUGGGAGAUUUACCUGGGUACCAGAACAUGUGUUAUAUGGGUACACGCUUUAUCUGUAU